rnacentral:rRNA from 1 species
UAGGGAAUCUUCGGCUAUGGGGGGAACCCUGACCGAGCAACGCCGCGUGAGUGAAGAAGGUUUUCGGAUCGUAAAGCUCUGUUGUUAAGGAAGAACGAGUGUGAGAAUGGAAAGUUCAUACUGUGACGGUACUUAACCAGAAAGGGACGGCUAACUACGUGCCAGCAGCCGCGGUAAUACGUAGGUCCCGAGCGUUGUCCGGAUUUAUUGGGCGUAAAGCGAGCGCAGGCGGUUAGAUAAGUCUGAAGUUAAAGGCAGUGGCUCAACCAUUGUAGGCUUUGGAAACUGUUUAACUUGAGUGCAGAAGGGGAGAGUGGAAUUCCAUGUGUAGCGGUGAAAUGCGUAGAUAUAUGGAGGAACACCGGUGGCGAAAGCGGCUCUCUGGUCUGUAACUGACGCUGAGGCUCGAAAGCGUGGGGAGCGAACAGG